GAGUUUGAUCCUGGCUCAGAACGAACGCUGGCGGCGCGUUUUAAGCAUGCAAGUCGAACGGUAGCUAGGCUUCGGCCUAGUGAGAGUGGCGAACGGGUGAGUAACACGUAGGUGAUGUGCCCGAGAGUUGGGGAUAGCUCAUGGAAACAUGGGGUAAUACCGAAUAAUCUGCGCUAUUAUGUUAGCGUAGGAAAGAGGCGUUCGCCUCGCUCACGGAUCAGCCUGCGGCUUAUUAGCUAGUUGGUAGGGUAAAGGCUUACCAAGGCGAUGAUAAGUAGCCGGCCUGAGAGGGUGAACGGCCACACUGGGACUGAGAUACGGCCCAGACUCCUACGGGAGGCAGCAGCUAAGAAUCUUCCGCAAUGGACGAAAGUCUGACGGAGCGACGCCGCGUGCAUGAUGAAGGCAGAGAUGUUGUAAAAUGCUUUUAUGGGGGAGGAAUAAGGAUAGCAGGAAAUGGUUGUCUGAUGACGUUAACCCAUGAAUAAGCUCCGGCUAAUUACGUGCCAGCAGCCGCGGUAAUACGUAAGGAGCGAGCGUUGUUCGGAAUUAUUGGGCGUAAAGUGCGUGUAGGCGGUUUGCUAAGUCUGAUGUGAAAGCAUGCAGCUCAACUGUAUUGUUGCGUUGGAAACUAGCAAACUAGAAUUCGAGAGAGGAAAUUGGAAUUCCUGGUGUAGGGGUGGAAUCUGUUGAUAUCAGGAGGAACAUCUGAGGCGAAAGCGAAUUUCUGGCUCUGAAUUGACGCUGAAGCGCGAAAGCGUAGGGAGCAAACAGGAUUAGAUACCCUGGUAGUCUACGCUGUAAAUGUUGUGCACUUGGUGUUGGUUCCUCAUUUGAUGCAGAGAUGUGUUAAAUGAGGAAUCAGCGCCGAAGCUAACGCGUUAAGUGCACCGCCUGGGGAGUAUGCCGGCAACGGUGAAACUCAAAG
rnacentral:rRNA from 1 species